AAGGGGUGACGGCGUACCUUUUGUAUAAUGGGUCAGCGACUUACAUUCAGUGGCAAGCUUAACCGAUUAGGGCAGGCGUAGCGAAAGCGAGUCCGAACAGGGCGAUUCAGUCGCUGGGUGUAGACCCGAAACCAGGUGAUCUAUCCAUGGCCAGGAUGAAGGUGCGGUAACACGUACUGGAGGUCCGAACCCACUAACGUUGAAAAGUUAGGGGAUGAGCUGUGGAUAGGGGUGAAAGGCUAAACAAACCUGGAAAUAGCUGGUUCUCUCCGAAAACUAUUUAGGUAGUGCCUCGUGUAUCACCUUCGGGGGUAGAGCACUGUCAUGGUUGUGGGGUCCAUUGCGGAUUACUACGCCAUAGCAAACUCCGAAUACCGAAGAGUGCAAUCACGGGAGACAGACAUCGGGUGCUAACGUCCGGUGUCAAGAGGGAAACAACCCAGACCGCCAGCUAAGGUCCCCAAAUAUUGCUAAGUGGGAAACGAAGUGGGAAGGCUAAAACAGUCAGGAGGUUGGCUUAGAAGCAGCCAUCCUUUAAAGAAAGCGUAAUAGCUCACUGAUCGAGUCGUCCUGCGCGGAAGAUGUAACGGGGCUAAGCAAUAUACCGAAGCUGCGGAUGCACAUUUAUGUGCAUGGUAGGAGAGCGUUCCGUAAGCCUGCGAAGGUGCAUUGAAAAGUGUGCUGGAGGUAUCGGAAGUGCGAAUGCUGACAUGAGUAGCGAUAAAGGGGGUGAAAGGCCCCCUCGCCGUAAGCCCAAGGUUUCCUACGCAACGUUCAUCGGCGUAGGGUGAGUCGGCCCCUAAGGCGAGGCAGAAAUGCGUAGCUGAUGGGAAGCAGGUUAAUAUUCCUGCACCAUUGUUAAAUGCGAUGGGGGGACGGAUCGCGGAAGGUUGUCCGGGUGUUGGAAGUCCCGGUCCUUGCAUUGGAGAAGGCGCUCAGGCAAAUCCGGGCGCGGAAUUCAAGGGUGCGAGGCCAGUCGCUUAGGCGACGAAGCAAUCGGAAGUGGUUCCAAGAAAAGCCUCUAAGCUUCAGUUUAACAGGACCGUACCGCAAACCGACACAGGUGGGCGAGAUGAGUAUUCUAAGGCGCUUGAGAGAACUCGGGAGAAGGAACUCGGCAAAUUGGUACCGUAACUUCGGGAUAAGGUACGCCCCUGUAGCUUGAUGCCCCUGCGGGCAGAGGGUGAAGGGGUUGCAAUAAACUGGUGGCUGCGACUGUUUAAUAAAAACACAGCACUCUGCAAACACGAAAGUGGACGUAUAGGGUGUGACGCCUGCCCGGUGCCGGAAGAUUAAAUGAUGGGGUGCAAGCUCUUGAUUGAAGUCCCGGUAAACGGCGGCCGUAACUAUAACGGUCCUAAGGUAGCGAAAUUCCUUGUCGGGUAAGUUCCGACCUGCACGAAUGGCGUAACGAUGGCCACACUGUCUCCUCCCGAGACUCAGCGAAGUUGAAGUGUUUGUGAUGAUGCAAUCUCCCCGCGGCUAGACGGAAAGACCCCAUGAACCUUUACUGUAGCUUUGCAUUGGACUUUGAACCGAUCUGUGUAGGAUAGGUGGGAGGCUAUGAAGCGUGGACGCCAGUCUGCGUGGAGCCGUCCUUGAAAUACCACCCUGGUUUGUUUGAGGUUCUAACCUUGGUCCGUAAUCCGGAUCGGGGACAGUGCAUGGUAGGCAGUUUGACUGGGGCGGUCUCCUCCCAAAGUGUAACGGAGGAGUACGAAGGUACGCUAGGUACGGUCGGAAAUCGUGCUGAUAGUGCAAUGGCAUAAGCGUGCUUAACUGCGAGACCGACAAGUCGAGCAGGUGCGAAAGCAGGUCAUAGUGAUCCGGUGGUUCUGUAUGGAAGGGCCAUCGCUCAACGGAUAAAAGGUACUCUGGGGAUAACAGGCUGAUACCGCCCAAGAGUUCAUAUCGACGGCGGUGUUUGGCACCUCGAUGUCGGCUCAUCUCAUCCUGGGGCUGUAGCCGGUCCCAAGGGUAUGGCUGUUCGCCAUUUAAAGAGGUACGUGAGCUGGGUUUAAAACGUCGUGAGACAGUUUGGUCCCUAUCUGCCGUGGGCGCUGGAUAUUUGAAGGGGGCUGCUCCUAGUACGAGAGGACCGGAGUGGACGAACCUCUGGUGUACCGGUUGUCACGCCAGUGGCAUCGCCGGGUAGCUAUGUUCGGAAGAGAUAACCGCUGAAAGCAUCUAAGCGGGAAACUCGCCUUAAGAUGAGAUAUCCCCGGGGCUUCGAGCCCCUUGAAGGGUCGUUCAAGACCAGGACGUUGAUAGGUCAGGUGUGGAAGCGCAGUAAUGCGUUAAGCUAACUGAUACUAAUUGCCCGUAAGGCUUGAUCCU
rnacentral:rRNA from 1 species